rnacentral:rRNA from 1 species
UACAGAGGGUGCGAGCGUUAAUCGGAAUUACUGGGCGUAAAGCGUGCGUAGACGGUAGCGUAAGUCGGGUGUGAAAGCCCCGGGCUCAACCUGGGGAAUUGCAUUCGAGACUGCUCUGCUAGGGUGCGGAAGAGGGAAGCGGAAUUUCCGGUGUAGCGGUGAAAUGCGUAGAUAUCGGAAGGAACACCAGUGGCGAAAGCGGCUUCCUGGUCCAGCACCGACGUUCAGGCACGAAAGCGUGGGGAGCGAAA